AAUCGGCGCGAUUCCCUUGAGUUGAUCAUGGCUCAGGACGAACGCUGGCGGCGCGCUUAACACAUGCAAGUCGAGCGAGAACCAGCCCUUCGGGGCUGGGGACAGCGGCGAACGGGUGAGUAACACGUGGGUAAUCUGCCCUCGGUUCUGGGAUAGCCCGGGGAAACCCGGAUUAAUACCGGAUAGCCUCUCGAGCUCUCGGGCUCGCGAGAAAAGGUAGCUUCGGCCUCCGACUGAGGAUGAGCCCGCGGCGGAUUAGCUUGUUGGUGGGGUAACGGCCCACCAAGGCGACGAUCCGUAGCUGGUCUGAGAGGACGAUCAGCCACACUGGGACUGAGACACGGCCCAGACUCCUACGGGAGGCAGCAGUGGGGAAUCUUGCGUAAUGGGCGAAAGCCUGACGCAGCGACGCCGCGUGGGGGAAGAAGGCCUUCGGGUUGUAAACCUCUUUCAGGAGGGACGAAGCCACUCGGGUUAAUAGCCCAGAGGGUGACGGUACCUCCAGAAGAAGCCCCGGCUAACUACGUGCCAGCAGCCGCGGUAAUACGUAGGGGGCAAGCGUUGUCCGGAUUUAUUGGGCGUAAAGAGCGUGUAGGCAGCCCGACAGGUCCGUUGUGAAAACUCGAGGCUCAACCUCGAGACGUCGAUGGAAACCGUCGGGCUAGAGUCCGGAAGAGGAGAGUGGAAUUCCUGGUGUAGCGGUGAAAUGCGCAGAUAUCAGGAGGAACACCCGUGGCGAAAGCGGCUCUCUGGGACGGUACUGACGCUGAGACGC
rnacentral:rRNA from 1 species